GGUUGGUACAACGAGUUGCGAGUCGGUGACGGCGAGCUAAUCUACUUAAAGCCAAUCUCAGUUCGGAUUGUAGGCUGCAACUCGCCUACAUGAAGUCGGAAUCGCUAGUAAUCGCGGAUCAGCACGCCGCGGUGAAUACGUUCCCGGGCCUU
rnacentral:rRNA from 1 species